CACGUAGGGCGCAAGCGUUUGUCCGGAAUUAUUGGGCGUAAAGAGCUCGUAGGCGGUUUGUCGCGUCUGCUGUGAAAACUCGGGGCUUAACCCCGGGCCUGCAGUGGGUACGGGCAGACUAGAGUGCGGUAGGGGAGACUGGAAUUCCUGGUGUAGCGGUGAAAUGCGCAGAUAUCAGGAGGAACACCGGUGGCGAAGGCGGGUCUCUGGGCCACUACUGACGCUGAGAAGCGAAAGCAUGGGGAGCGAACAGG
rnacentral:rRNA from 1 species